rnacentral:misc_RNA from 1 species
GAUGAAGAACGUAGCGAAAUGCGAUAAGUAAUGUGAAUUGCAGAAUUCAGUGAAUCAUCGAAUCUUUGAACGCACAUUGCGCCCGCCAGUAUUCUGGCGGGCAUGCCUGUCCGAGCGUCAUUUCAACCCUCGAACCCCUCCGGGGGGUCGGCGUUGGGGAUCGGCCCUGCCUCUUGGCGGUGGCCGUCUCCGAAAUACAGUGGCGGUCUCGCCGCAGCCUCUCCUGCGCAGUAGUUUGCACACUCGCAUCGGGAGCGCGGCGCGUCCACAGCCGUUAAACACCCAACUUCUGAAAUGUUGACCUCGAAUCAGGUAGGAAUACCCGCUGAACUUAAGCAUAUCAAUAAGCGGAGGA